UAUGAAAAUGUUUGUCUUUAAUUGAAAAUAAUUAUUUUACAGGAAAAUUUUGGGGUCAGAUGUUGAAAAUGAAGCAUCAGAUGCUGAAGAUAGUGAUAGUGAAAGUGAUAAGAGUGAUAACGAAUCAAAAGUAGGAGAAUUAAUAGCAGAUAUCUUUGGAGAGAGUGAUGAAGAUGAAGAAUUUGAAGUAUGUAAAU